AGCGAACGCUGGCGGCAGGCCUAACACAUGCAAGUCGAACGAAGUCUUCGGACUUAGUGGCGGACGGGUGAGUAACACGUGGGAACGUGCCUUUAGGUUCGGAAUAACUCAGGGAAACUUGUGCUAAUACCGAAUGUGCCCUUCGGGGGAAAGAUUUAUCGCCUUUAGAGCGGCCCGCGUCUGAUUAGCUAGUUGGUGAGGUAAAGGCUCACCAAGGCGACGAUCAGUAGCGGGUCUGAGAGGAUGAUCAGCCACAUUGGGACUGAGACACGGCCCAAACUCCUACGGGAGGCAGCAGUGGGGAAUCUUGCGCAAUGGGCGAAAGCCUGACGCAGCCAUGCCGCGUGAAUGAUGAAGGUCUUAGGAUUGUAAAAUUCUUUCCCCGGGGACGAUAAUGACGGUACCCGGAGAAGAAGCCCCGGCUAACUUCGUGCCAGCCGCCGCAGUAACAC
rnacentral:rRNA from 1 species